rnacentral:rRNA from 1 species
CGCUAGCCAUUGGCUUAACACAUGCAAGUCGAGGGGCAGCAUGAAGUCUUGCUUGCAAACUUUGAUGGCGACCGGCGCACGGGUGAGUAACACGUAUCCAACCUGCCGAUAACUCGGGGAUAGCCUUUCGAAAGAAAGAUUAAUACCCGAUGGCAUGGAAAGUCCGCAUGGUCUUUCCAUUAAAGAACUUCGGUUAUCGAUGGGGAUGCGUUCCAUUAGAUAGUAGGCGGGGUAACGGCCCACCUAGUCAACGAUGGAUAGGGGUUCUGAGAGGAAGGUCCCCCACAUUGGAACUGAGACACGGUCCAAACUCCUACGGGAGGCAGCAGUGAGGAAUAUUGGUCAAUGGACGAGAGUCUGAACCAGCCAAGUAGCGUGAAGGAUGACUGCCCUAUGGGUUGUAAACUUCUUUUAUACGGGAAUAAAGUGUUCCACGUGUGGAAUUUUGUAUGUACCGUAUGAAUAAGGAUCGGCUAACUCCGUGCCAGCAGCCGCGGUAAUACGGAGGAUCCGAGCGUUAUCCGGAUUUAUUGGGUUUAAAGGGAGCGUAGGUGGAAGAUUAAGUCAGCCUGUGAAAGUUUGCGGCUCAACCGUAAAAUUGCAGUUGAUACUGGUUUUCUUGAGUGCAGUAGAGGUGGGCGGAAUUCGUGGUGUAGCGGUGAAAUGCUUAGAUAUCACGAAGAACUCCGAUUG